rnacentral:rRNA from 1 species
GAUAAACGCUGGCGGCGUGCCUAAUACAUGCAAGUCGAGCGAACAGACGAGGAGCUUGCUCCUCUGACGUUAGCGGCGGACGGGGGAGUAAAACGUGGAUAACCUACCUAUAAGACUGGGAUAACUUCGGGAAACCGGAGCUAAUACCGGAUAAUAUAUUGAACCGCAUGGUUCAAUAGUGAAAGACGGUUUUGCUGUCACUUAUAGAUGGAUCCGCGCCGCAUUAGCUAGUUGGUAAGGUAACGGCUUACCAAGGCGACGAUGCGUAACCGACCUGAGAGGGUGGACGGCCACACUGGAACUGAGACACGGUCCAGACUCCUACGGGAGGCAGCAGUAGGGAAUCUUACGCAAUGGGCGAAAGCCUGACGGAGCAACGCCGCGUGAGUGAUGAAGGUCUUCGGAUCGUAAAACUCUGUUAUUAGGGAAGAACAAAUGUGUAAGUAACUAUGCACGUCUUGACGGUACCUAAGCAGAAAGCCACGGCUAACUACGUG